UUGCAAAGGUACAUAAUAAUUAGCUCAUUGAUUGUGAGAUCGUAUGAAUGGGUGGAUGAGAUGGCAAUUGUCCCAGUUUGUGAUUAUUGAAAUUAAUUUCUCAUUGAGAAAGAUGAGAUUUCCUGGUAGGACGAGAAGACCCCGUGAAUCUUUACUUUUGGGUCAAGUUUUUGUUGCGUCUUGACCCAAAAGUUGGGCUGGGGCGGCUACUGAUUAUAAACUUCUGAGUUUUCUAAGUUUUGGUGUGAAUUUAUUUUUAUUGAUCCUUUGUUAAGAUUAUCAGAACAAGUUACUCCGGGGAUAACAGCGAAUUGUUUUAGAGAGUUCUUAUCGGCGAAGGAGCUUGCGACCUCGAUGUUGGAUUAAGUUUUAUGUCGGGGGCAGUACCUCGUAUGUUUUUAGUCUGUUCGACUUUAGUAACUUACACGAUUUGAGUUCAGACCGGAUCUCACU
rnacentral:rRNA from 1 species